rnacentral:rRNA from 1 species
GACGAACGCUGGCGGCGUGCUUAACACAUGCAAGUCGAGCGGUAAGGCCCUUUCGGGGGUACACGAGCGGCGAACGGGUGAGUAACACGUGGGUGACCUGCCCUCAGCUCUGGGAUAAGCCUGGGAAACCGGGUCUAAUACCGGAUAUGACUCCAUGACGCAUGUUGUGGGGUGGAAAGCCUUGUGCGGCUGAGGAUGGGGCCCGCGGCCUAUCAGCUUGUUGGUGGGGUGAUGGCCUACCAAGGCGACGACGGGUAGCCGGCCUGAGAGGGCGACCGGCCACACUGGGACUGAGACACGGCCCAGACUCCUACGGGAGGCAGCAGUGGGGAAUCUUGCGCAAUGGGCGAAAGCCUGACGCAGCGACGCCGCGUGAGGGAUGACGGCCUGU